UGGGGAAUAUUGGACAAUGGGCGCAAGCCUGAUCCAGCCAUGCCGCGUGAGUGAAGAAGGGCCCUAGGGUUGUAAAGCUCUUUCAACGGUGACGAUGAUGACGGUAGCCGUAGAAGAACCGGCCCAGCUACCGUGCCAGCAGCCGCGGUAAUACGGAGGGGGCAAGCGUUGUUCGGAAUUACUGGGCGUAAAGGGCGCGUAGGCGGUCUGUUGCGUCAGGUGUGAAAGCCCUGGGCUCAACCCGGGAGGUGCACUUGAUACGGGGCAGACUUGAAUCCGAGAGAGGAUGGUGGAAUUCCCCAGUGUAGAGGUGAAAUUCGUAGAUAUUGGGAAGAACACCGAUGGCGAAGGCAGCCAUCUGGCUCGGUAUUGACGCUGAGGCGCGAAAGCGUGGGGAGCAAAACAGGAUUAGAUACCCUGGUAGUCCACGCCGUAAACGAUGUGUGCUAGCCGUCGGGCAGCUUGCUGUUC
rnacentral:rRNA from 1 species